rnacentral:rRNA from 1 species
GAUCCUGGCUCAGGAUGAACGCUGGCGGCGUGCCUAACACAUGCAAGUCGAGCGAAGCGGUUUUGGGGAAGUUUUCGGAUGGAAUUAAAACUGACUGAGCGGCGGACGGGUGAGUAACGCGUGGGUAACCUGCCUCAUACAGGGGGAUAACAGUUAGAAAUGGCUGCUAAUACCGCAUAAGCACACAGCUUCGCAUGGAGCAGUGUGAAAAACUCUGGUGGUAUGAGAUGGACCCGCGU